UUUGCCUUCCCUUUGUAUGUUUGGGGAAAAAAAUAUCCGUUACAGCUUUUAUGCCCAAAUCAUGAAUUCUAGUAUAAAAAAAUCACGAUGAUGGAUCACUGGGAUUUCAGCUAUGGAGGAAAAGCUAAUACAAAGUCCACUUAAGCAGAGAGUUCGAAAAAGAGAUCAAGAGCCAAGAAACCCAGAGUAGUUUCUGUGUCAAACAGUCCGAAUAUCAUGGAAUCCUAAUUUCGUGAAGGAAGAUGGGGUGGGGGUGAUUGUCGAUUUUCUCGUGUUUUCCUAAUUUGUUUAGGAGAUCCUGGAAAAUCCCAAGGAAACGUUCGUUGUGGGGUAUAAAACACGGCCACCUCCCAGCAGCCAAACAGACAGCAAUGCACACUGUCCAUAAUGUUUGUUGUGGGUUGUAUUCUAUUGCGCAACCCCCCGCCUCUAGACAUUGGCACUAACCUUUUCAGAACUCCUCUCUUUCUCUCACCACUAACCAUUAUGUGACCCUCUCUCUGGCGACGAUCAACCUUUUCUAGUACUUCAGAUUUUUCAUGGAAUACCAAGGCUUAGCUCAGUUUGUUCAUAUGCUAAAGAUAAGCUGAAAUUCAAGAAUUGAGGCACCACUGCACCAGUAUUUAAGCAUAAUGAUCCCGAACAUGUCUAGUGAACAUGCAAUUUGUAAGAUGAAUCAAAGAAGAAGCUGACUUUAUAAAUAGGGCAAGCAGGGAUUCGAUCCUAAGGCAGGAAAGAGAGGGAUAGAUCUAAGAGGUGCUAGUGGUAUUCUGACCUAGGAACUAGAGCAGACCAGACGCAACAAUCUUCAUCUUCCGUCUGCUAGUAUGAUAGGAGAAAUAGAACUAAUAGUAUAGGAACUCAAAGCAGAGAAAUACUUUAUCUUCUUGUGAAGGUUCAUGAGGAAUUGGUUCAUAAUGGUUCUGACUUCUGAGUUUGAAGAGACAGAAAAACUUGAUGCAGAUCAUAUGCUUAUCAUCAACUUACCAAAAAAGAGUAUGUAUCGUGGAAUUCUCAAUUUAAAAACUGCCACGAGGAAAAUCAUAUACAUACGGAAAGGUUAGUAUGAUAUUCUUCUUGAUCUCAGAUAUGUGUCCUUUAACUUACUGACCGCUUACAUAUAUAGCUACUUUUUUUUACUUAUUAUAUUAGAUUACUUGUUAAACUACUGAGUCUUGAUAUGGUUUAUGAGUCAUCUUGGGUAGAUUUUCUGCCGUUGCCUUUUUUGUUUGAAAUUGUGGAGAUAGGACUGCCUGAGUUUUAAUAUGAGAAAUUCCUGCAGGAACUUUUGAAUCAGCAAAUGGACAACUGUAAUUUAAACUUGAAUCCUGAAAUCUAUAAUGUCGGUGCCUUGUUUAGCUGAGUUACUGUGAUAUCUAUACAUGGUAUUUUACAUUUACUUUAUUUAACUUGCAUUGAUGCUUGGAUAUGAUGGAUGCUAAAUUGCAUUUCAAACAGGGGAAUCUGAUUAGUGAAAGAGACUAGGGACUUAUUAGACUCCUCUUGGUAUUGAUGAAUGAUGUAUGCAUUGAGCUUCCAAAAUUGUGGAUUCUGCAAAUGUAUAUGCUAACCUAAAAAAUAUUGGCAACACUUUUUCCUGGAGCAAAGUGAGCCUUUGCUGUACACUUGGCUUAGAAUUUCAAAACUGAAAAAGAUUUAAUGAAUGGUGGGAGAGGACUUUGGAAUGGAGAAAAAGUGAGAAGCACUAAAUGGGCAGGUCCGUUUAAAUUUUGUGUUUUUCAUGAAAUACACUGACUUUUGGAAACAACAUCUAUUUCCUGGAACCUUUAUUGUACAAUUCGCUUGGAAUAUCAAAACUGAAAAAGAAUGGAUGAACAAUGAGAGAGGACUUUGGCAUGGGGAAAUAGUGAGAAGCACUCAAUGGCAGGUCUGUUUAUAUUUUGUGCUUUUCAUGAAAUACACUAACUUGUGGAAACAACUUCUCUUUCCUAGAGCCUUUGCUGUACACUUGGAUUGGAAUUUCAAAACUGAAAAAGAAUGAAUGAACAGUGAGGGAGGAUUUUGGCAUGGGGAAAAAGUGAGAAGCACUCAAUUGAUAGGUCCGUUUAAAUUUUGUGCUUUUCACGAAAUUCACUAACUUGGGAAAACAGCAACUAUUUCCCUAAGCCUUUGUUGUACACUUUUGGCUUGAAAUUUCAAAAUUGAAAAGUCAUAAAAGUGAGAAGCACUCCACUGACAAGUCCGUUUAAAUUUUGUGCUUUUCAUAAUAGUCACUAACCUCGGUAAACAACUUCUAUUUCCCGAAGCCUUUGCUGUACACUUGGCUUGGAAUUUCAAAAGUGAAAAAGAAUGAAUGAACGGUGAGAGACAAUUUUGGCUUGGGGAAAAAGUAAGAAGCACUCAAUGGGCAGGUUCGUUUAAAUUUUGUGCUUUUCACUAAAUACACUAACCUGUCGAAAAAACUCGUAUUUCUUGGAGGCUUUGUUGUACACUUGGCUUGGAAUUUGAAAACUGAUAAAGAAUGAAUGGACGGUGAGAGGAUUUUGGUAUGAGGAAAAUUUGAGAAGCACUCAAUUGACAGGUCUGUUUAAAUUUUGUGUUUUUCAUGAAAUUCACUAACCUGGGAAAACAACUUCUAUUUUGAAGUCUUUGUUGUACACUUUUUGCUUGAAAUUUCAAAAUUGAAAAAGCACAAAAGUGAGAAGCACUCAAUUGGCAGGUCCGUUUAAAUUUGUGCUUUUCAAUUCACUAACUUGGGAAAACAACUUUUAUUUCCCGGAGCCUUUGUUGUACACUUGGUUUGGAAUUUCAAAAAUGAAAAAGAAUGAAUGAACGGAGAGAUUAAUUUGGCAUGGGGAAAAAGUGAGCACUCAAUAGGUAGGUUCGUUUAAAUUUUGUGCUUUUCAUGAAAUACACCAACUUUAGGAAACGUCUAUUUCCUGGAGCCUUUAUUGUACAAUUCGCUUGGAAUUUCAAAACUGAAAAAGAAUGAAUAAACAAUCAGAGAAGACUUUGGAAUGAGGAAAAAGUGAGAAGCACUCAAUGGACAAGUCCGUUUAUAUUUUGUGUUUUUCAUAAAAUACACUAACUUGUGGAAACAAAUUCUAUUUCCUGGAGUCUUUGUUGUAUACUUGGCUUGGAAUUUCGAAACUGAAAAGGAAGUAAUGGAUGGUGAGAGUGGAUUUUGGCAUGGGAAAAAAGCGAGAAGCACUCAAUUGACAGGUCGGUUUAAAUUUUGUGCUUUUCAUUAAAUUCACUAACCUAAGAAAAUAACUUCUAUUUCCUGAAGCCUUUAUUGAACACUUUUGGCUUGAAAUUUGAAAAUUGAAGAGGCACAAAAGUGAGAAGCACUUAAUUGACAGGUCCGUUUAUAUUUUGUGCUUUUCAUGAAAUUCACUAACAUGGGAAAACAACUUCUAUUUCCUGAAGCCUUUGUUGUUCUUUUGGCUUGAAAUUUCAAAACUGAAAAGGAAUGAAUGAAUGGUGAGAGAGGAUUUUGGCAUGGGAAAAAAGUGAGAAGCACUCAAUGGGCAGGUCUGUUUAAAUUUUGUGCUUUUCAUGACAUUUGAUGUCAAAUGUCAUAGCUGGUCAGGCAACAGAGAGAACUACAGAUUUAUGUUUUUGAUUUCUUGAAAUCAUAGAGAUAUUGGUGGGGAAAAAAUGGAGAAAACUAUAGAACUCUGAAGAGAAGGGAAAACAUUGGGGGGGGGGCACUUGACGGACCAUUUAUGGGAGAAAUCACCCAAUUUAUCAGUGCCAAGGUCUGUUGUUUCUGUGAGCAAGGCUUGUGGUUGAGUGACUGAAGGUGAUGAUUUUGAUAUCAUUAUAAAGCACCAUACCAUAGCAGAGAUGGAGAGAAUUACGCUUCCCUAGUAUUCUCUUUCUUGCUCAUCUCAACCACUAACCCAACCUGAUGGAUUUCUCCAUAUUGUAAAUGCUGAUUAAUCUUUGUAUACUCUUGUCCCACCAAAAGAUUUAUUCUUUUACCUCUACAAUGUCGAAAAUUGUGAAAGAUUAACUUUAACCUUGUCCUUUCUCUAACCAUCCAAUGCAUGUUGAAAGAAACAACAAUGCCUUUGCCCAACUAUUUUCACUUUACUAAAAUCAACAGGUAUGCUUGCUGUAAACCUUCUAAAGUUUUUAUUUUUUCUCUCAUUGACAGGAUUCACAUGAACAGUCCCUUUAUUAUUGUCUUAAAGAAAACUUGAUGGAUGCUGGUUUGAUUAUAUCCUCGAUACUUUGAAAAAUGAAUGUACAAGCUGUGGAACAGUUAUGGAUUUAUUUUGUUGAAUCUGAUGAUGGUAUUGAAGAUGGUAGUACUUUAGCAGCUGCUUUAAUGUACCCCAUCACAAAGAGAACAAGGAAACCACAGUAAGUUUUCAUUGGAUACUCCAGGUAGGACAAUUUCAUAUUCAGCUUGGUUCCUAUUAUCAUAUAUCUUUUAUGUUGUGUACAGCUCUCGAGGAGUCAUCCCAAUCCAAAGAUCAUCUUUUUGUUCUAGAAAUUGCUGUCUGUCAAUGAACUCCUAAUGGUAUAGCACAUUAUGGUGGUAAUCACUAACUAGUAUCAACUUUGAUUUUAUCGCUCAUUCUAUGGUUGAUUCUGAAUAUUUUGGCAUCGAUUUCUUUUAAUUCCGUAAUCAUUUGUUCAUUGGCAAAUUCCCGAAGAUAAGACUUCUUCUUUGGUGCUUGGCAAAGGAUGGUUUACAUAGUGAAGGUUCUAUAUUGAUUCCUUUCAAGCCUUAAAAAAGAUAGCUUAAUAAAUUUCUUGUUGGCUAAGUUGCGGUGAAAUUUUUUGUGGUUGCAAGAUCUUUAUUUGGAAUUGAUAUUGGUUGCUUUUUUUUCUCUCUCUCUCUAAUGUCAAUCUGAGGCUUCCAAUAUGAAGCAGUUGUGCACUGACUGUUUGCUGGAUGUCUAUGAAUUCUAGGUCGUCUUUAACAGCAAAGAGAGAGAAAAAAGAUAGGAAGUCAAUUGGUGUUACAGAUGACUGACCGACUUCCUUCUUUGCUUUCAAUCGGUGUGAUAUUUGAUCAAACUCGUAGUUGGUUGCUGAGAUGACGGAGGACAAGAGACUCCUGCUACUGCCAAUCAGACUACUUGAGAUUAUAAUAUUUAACGAAAUAUUGAAAGCAUUCGUGUCAAAGGUUUGAGAAGUAGAGCCAGAAAAAGAUGACUCAUUGUUGAGGGCAGAGAUGCUUUGCGAGGGAGUCAGGCAACAAAAUCUACAACAGUACAGGGAAACACCAGACAUCUUAUAACCACCAAUUUAUCUUAUUAUCAUCCUUUUCAAGUUGGGCAUAUUAACAUGGUCUUCCAGAGAUGUAAUGUGGGUCAACCAAGGCCAACUCGAAAGUGGCAUGCGAGUUUCAUGGAACGGGACGACCCUCUCAUUGAGUUUCGCAAAACCCUACUGAGUUCCCAAGGGGGCAGGCCCCCAGUCAAGUGGGCCUUACCUAGCCGACGGUCGUGGAAUCGGUAUUUUUUUUAUAUACCUAGGUGGUAUUAACAAAUUUCAUCUUCGAAUUAAUAAGAAAAAUAUAAUUGUGAUUGUGUGACAUGUGAGCGUGCGUGUCUAAAACUAAAAGUUUUAUAUCAAAGAAUGAUACGUGAUCAUGAUGAAGGAUACAAACUAAAGAGACGCUUUGAAGCAGCCCAAAUAGUAAUUUUGAUUAAUCUAACUUUUGAAUUGGAGUCAAAAUACAACGGUCUCUAUACAUGUGUGAGGAGUAAAGGUAUAUAUAUGUGUGUGUUGACAUGAUAAGUAGAAUAUUUAUAUACCCCAGUGAUCAGUUGAGACAACUAUUAGACUUUGGAAGGUCCAUGGUUGCUUCGAAUUCCCACAUCAAUUAAAGUUGAGACCAACCUCUCAUAAGCUCAUUGUUUGGACCGUUUGGCGCUUCAUUUAAUUUGUUAUGAUCAGUCGCCAGGGUAUUAUUCUACGCGGAUGUGUCUUAUUUGACCGAGUGAUUAGAUUCUGGUUCUGAACACACGUUCCCUUGCGCACGCACUCACUUACGUCACUUGUAAAGCCUCGAGUCAUAGUCAAGUCCCUCAACUGUCAACUACCAACAAAAAAAACGACUUUAAUUUCACCAUUCGGCUGUCUUCUUCUCUGAUUUCCAUCAAUACGCCACGUGUUUCUUUCUUUAUUUCUUUCUUUUUUGUAGCAAUUUUUUUUAUUACUUUGCUUCGUUAAAAGUAUAGUUAGGUUUUAUUCCAAUAUUUUGAGUAAAUUAGUGGAUUGUGAGUUUGACCGUUUGUGGAGUUGUGGUACAUUUUUUUUUUACUGUGUUUCUUGUUGAAGAACUACUGUUUCUCAUAAUAUGAC